GACGAACGCUGGCGGCGUGCCUAAUACAUGCAAGUCGAACGCAGUGGGGACGGGUGAGUAAAACGUGGGUAACCUCCCAUCAGAGGGGAUAACAGUUGGAAACAGGUGCUAAACCGCUACUGAUGGAUGGACCCGGGGGGGAUUAGCUAGUUGGUGAGGUAACGGCUCACCAAGGCCACGAUGCAUAGCCGACCUGAGAGGUGGAUCGGCCACACGGGGACUGAGACACGGCCCAGACUCCUACGGGAGGCAGCAGUAGGGAAUAUUCGGCAAUGGGCGAAAGUCUGACCGAGCCAUGCCGCGUGAGUGAAGAAGGUUUUCGGAUCGUAAAACUCUGUUGUUAGAGAAGCGGUAUCUAACCAGAAAGCCACGGCUAACUACGUGCCAGCAGCCGCGGUAAUUC
rnacentral:rRNA from 1 species